ACUGAGUCUAUAUCAAGCCUUGCAGAUUAUCUGCUUCUGAUAGCUUACAAAGGUACACAUAUAUCCCAACACCAUCUUGUGUACACAAAAAAAAAAAAUCUCUACUCUGUUUGGUGUUGGCUAUCUGAGUCACCCUUUGCUUAUAGUUAAAUGUAUGAUUAAUAAGAAGGCCAGUUUCUGCAUCCCAAGGAUCGGGUGACUCAUCAUCAUCAUUCCCUUACUUUCUUGAACUAAAAUGUUUCAUGAUAUCUCAUACUAAAAGACUGUUGCAGAUAGAAUAAGCGGGUCUGUUCGAAUGCACAUAGUGGCUUUGAUAGUUUCUGCCUUUGAGUUAUCU
rnacentral:lncRNA from 1 species